GGCUAUGGCCGUGCCACCUUGAACACGCCUGAUCCCGUCUGAUGUCGGAAGCUAAGCAGGGUCGGCCUGGUUAGUACUUGGAUGGGAGACCACAUAGGAAGACCAGGUGCUAUAGGUG
rnacentral:rRNA from 1 species